rnacentral:lncRNA from 1 species
GAAAGAAGAUUUGGGCCCAAAUCUGGAUUUCCUGUUCGUCUGGGCCAGUAUCUGGGCCCAUUUUCGUUUUGGAUUUUUAGCCCAUUUGAGUCAUCUGCACCUGUCCUAAUUCUUCCACCUGUCCUAAAGUUUAACAAUAUGAUAAUAAUAAUUGAAAUACAAGAAAACUUAUGCCCAAGAUAAUAAAAUACAACUAUUAAAAUAAGGAUGGGCCUUUUGGCCCAAAUCUCUUCAAUUUUCUGAUCUGCAGCAUUAUUUUCGGCUUUGAGAACUUGUAAUCUUGCUUCUAAGGCCUGUGACAGCUUCCUCUAGCCAUCAGCUUUCGAUGAACCUAGUUGACUCGAUAAAGGGACGUUGGGUUUGGCCCAACUAGAAUGCGAGGUGAGGGAAAAGGGAGUCCCGUUUGGACUCAAUCCGAGUAGUUCAUACAAAAAAUAAAAUAAUGAUAAUUAUAAUUAUAAUUAUAAGCGUCACUGCCAAACCAUAUUGCUAGACAAAGAAUAUAAAAUCGAGCCAAUUAUAUAAUGCAGAGGAGAAUACUAGCUUAAUUACAUCACAAUAUCAAACAUAAUAUUAAUAUGAAUUAAAAAAAAAUGUGGCACUCAGAAUUAUUGACAAGUGGCAUUAAUGGAUGACAACAUUCAGCUAACAAGUGAUGCAUGGCAAAUAAUAAAUUUGACAUUAUUUAGAGAAAAGAAAAAAAGAGGUUAUGGAUAAGCUAUGCACAAGUUGCAUUCGAGCUUUUGAAAACUUGAACAAAUUUUAGAAAAAAAAUAGUUAUUCAUAAAGAGAUGCAGAGAACUCAUAAUACUAGAAAAAUGUAAGAGCUCAUGGUGUAAACAAUAAAAGAUAUAAAAGUAAAUAUAGUCACAUGGCAAAAGAAGUAAGCUAGCAACCACCAAAUACAUAUUACAUGACUCUCAUUUUAACAACUAAUUCACGCUAUUCUCAAAAAAAAAAAACAUAAAAAAUAAAUCUAGAUACAUUAUUCAUAGCAGGAUGAGCUCAUUUUACUUUUAUCCUUAACGUAUCAUAGUCUUGAUUUCGGUAAGUAAUCAAAAAGUCUCAAGAGAUUAAGAAUGACAUUGACAGAGAUUUAUGCUAAUAGCUCAAAAUGGAAUAGCAAAUUCUUAAACUUAAACCUUUGGAUUAAUAGGAAAACUUUAGCUAAACUGGAUCAUGCUUUAGCAUAUCGUCACUAGAGUUUUCGCUUAAACAUGAAUAGAAUCACCUCAUAAUAAACACAGAAUUACGAAACUUAGGCCGAUGACUACGGACAAUAUUUGGUUCCAGCAUUAACGAAAACAUUUUGUAACCAGUAAGAACAUCAACCAGCAGCUAAUUUCAACUCAACAUUCUUAGGCAAAGGAUAUGUUAGAAUCAGAGGCGAAUCUAGGAUUUUUCGAAUAUGGGUGCACCAAGAAAAAUGUAUUAAGUGGGAAUUGAUCCGAACAUGGGUGCACCAAGAAAAAUGUAUUAAGUGGGAAUUGAUCCGAACAUGGGUGCACCAAGAAAAAUGUAUUAAGUGGGAAUUGAUCCGAACAUGGGUGCACCAAGAAAAAUGUAUUAAGUGGGAAUUGAUCCUCAGUCCUCAAAGUCAAAAGCUCAACAUUUAACCAUAUGGAUCAACUAGACUUUUUAUAGUACAGGUGCAAGAAUAUAAUAUUAUACAAAUGUUAGAAAAUAUAUACAUAAAAUAUCUAAUUUUACGAAGAGACCACGGGUUCGGAUGCCCUAUUUUUUGCACCUAAAUUCGCCACUGGUUAGAAUCACCAUUUUUAGAUUUCACACUCUCAACAUCAACAUCUUAACGACGCACACAAAAUCAACGAGGAAACUAGGGAUUAAACAGAAAGCUAAGAGGAGUUUACCUUUUGAGAUGCAGCAAACUGGUCAACAACGAGCGGAAGAGCAGCGAGACUUCACCACCAAACGACGACGACUCCUCCGGAAAACUCUAUGUUUCCUUUAGUAUAUAUCUUAGUUAUUUUUGCUUAAGCUAUU